GAUGAACGCUGGCGGUCUGCUUAACACAUGCAAGUCGAACGGACCCUUCGGGGUUAGUGGCGGACGGGUGAGUAACGCGUGAGAAUCUGCCUUUAGGAGGGGGAUAACAGCUGGAAACGGUUGCUAAUACCCCAUAUGCUUUUAAGUGAAAUGGGUUUCCGCCUAAAGAAAAGCUUACGGCUGAUUAGCUUGUUGGUAAGGUAAUGGCUUACCAAGGCGACAAUCAGUAUCUGGUUUGAGAGGAUGAUCAGACACACUGGAACUGAGACACGGUCCAGACUCCUACGGGAGGCAGCAGUGGGGAAUUUUCCGCAAUGGGCGCAAGCCUGACGGAGCAAUUUCGCGUGAAGGAUGACGCCUAUGGGUUGUAAACUUCUUUUUCUA
rnacentral:rRNA from 1 species